GACGAACGCUGGCGGCGUGCUUAACACAUGCAAGUCGAACGGAAAGGCGCUGCUUUUGUGGGGUGGUGGAGUGGCGAAGGGGUGAGUAACACGAGAGUAACCUGCCCUUGACUUUGGGAUAACUUCAGGAAACUGGGGCGAAUACCGGACGGGAGCUCCUGCUGCAUGGGGGGGGUGGGAAAGUUUCGGCGGUUGGGGAUGGACGCGCGGCGUAUCAGCCUGUUGGUGGGGUAGUGGCUUACCAAGGCUUUGACGGGUAGCCGGCCUGAGAGGGUGACCGGCCACAUUGGGACUGAGACACGGGCCAGACUCCUACGGGAGGCAGCAGUGGGGAAUAUUGCACAAUGGGCGGAAGCCUGAUGCAGCAACGCCGCGUGCGGGAUGACGGCCUUCGGGUUGUAAACCGCUUUCGCCUGUGACGAAGCGUGAGUGACGGUAAUGGGUAAAGAAGCACCGGCUAACUACGUG
rnacentral:rRNA from 1 species